AUGGCGGGCGGGGAGCGCCGCGCUGAGGGAGGGCUGAAGUGAAAUUAAAAAAUAGUUCGACAUUAACGCCCCGGCCUUCCUCUGGAAAUUAAAAUCUAGUGGACAACGAGUGCAGCCCCGACUGCUCUUUUUCCGCAGUUGUUGCCGUGGCGUGAGGCGCCCGGCGCAGCCACCUAAAGGACGUAUUACCUCUGACUCCCGUCUCUGGGUCUCAACCCCCGGUGUUUGAAGAGGCGCGCUUUGCUCCUGGAGUACUUUUGCGUGUGCUCAAACCUCUCCUCGUUUACUCACUUAAAUUCACCUGCAAAGACUGCUACAGUGGGCUGUCAUUGCACUUACCAUUUUGUUUUGUAAAGCACAAACUUUGUUUUUGGGGCCAGCUUUGUGUCCCUUUCACAGAGGUAGGAUACUGCCUAAUAAAAAGCUGUAACAUG